UAAUACGGGGGGUGCGAGCGUUGUCCGGAAUCACUGGGCGUAAAGGGCGCGUAGGUGGUUUGAUAAGGGUGUGGUGAAAGUCCGGGGCUCAACCCCGGAUCUGCCGUGCCGACUGUCAAACUCGAGGACUGUAGAGGCAGACGGAAUUCCGGGUGUAGCGGUGGAAUGCGUAGAGAUCCGGAGGAAGACCGGUGGCGAAGGCGGUCUGCUGGGCAGUUUCUGACACUGAGGCGCGACAGCGUGGGGAGCAAACAGGAUUAGAUACCCUGGUAGUCCACGCCGUAAACGAUGGGCACUAGGUGUGGGAGGUGUCGACUCCUCCCGUGCCGGAGCUAACGCAUUAAGUGCCCCGCCUGGGGAGUACGGCCGCAAGGCUA
rnacentral:rRNA from 1 species